rnacentral:miRNA from 1 species
ACAGCGUGGACGCGGUCAAGU